CGUUAAAAAUUUCAUGCAUUUGCACUGUUAAUAACAAAUGUGGAUCAUGAAAUAACCAAAUAGUGACACAUGACAUCCAUGUGUAUCUCACGUUGGCAUACAAUGACCAAUUUUUAAUUAUAAAAAUGGAUGGAAAUUUUAACA
rfam:Gossypium arboreum cultivar AKA8401 contig_44863_1, whole genome shotgun sequence.